CACACCUCUGCAGCGAGAAGCUGUCGGUGGGUGGCGAGAACCCCAGCAGGAGCCAGGCGGGGUCUUCCUGCCGUUGGAUGAGUGCUGUGGGAGGUCAGGGCUGCUCCCAGGUCCAGAUCACACCAGCACAUUUCCAAGAGCACUGUCAAAUGGGAAGGACAAAGAACAAUUAUUAGGAAGGAAAGGAGUUUUUCUGAGUCAGUGUUUUCAGUUUCCUGCUCCUGAGGAAUCUGGGGGUUGAGAAAUGGAAAAGGAGCUCUCAUGUUGGACAAGUCACUGAGACUCCUGAGCUGUAACUUGGAAUGCACAAUGCUUCUGCAAGCAACAUCCUAAAGUGCUUUCGGCCUCUGCUCUGCUUUUGACGGAAGCAGCAUCACUUCUGCUGGACCCAUCUGUUUUUUCUUGAUCUGCCCUUUUCCACCUGCAAAAAGAAAAGUUGCCCAGUCAGUGCCCUGCAAACAGGCAGGUUUCUCUUAGGUCAAAGUGAGUGCACAGACAUUCGCAUGGAGUGCUGACAGGGAAGUCAUGAAUGGAUUUCUGAUGUUGAGUCUACAGUUUUGAAAUCAGAAAAUGUGCUGUUGAAGUCAUCGUCAGCCUUUGAGAGGGAAACAGGAGAAAAAUCGGAUAAACUUCUUGCUAAAAAUGAGCUGCUUCAAAUUGAGGUUGACCACCUUCAAAGUCUUGUUGCACCAGAGUGCAGA